GAUGCGGACCAGCUUCUGUGGUCCCCCAGAAGAUGGCUAAAGGAGGGACAGAGAAAGGAUGAGGAGGAGCUGUUGAAGCCAUCAACAGGAAUGGGAAUUCAGGGGAGAUGAUUGGCACUAGGGCGACCUGGGAGUGAUGCAGAGGCGCAGAUGCUCUGAGAACAGCCUGAGUGCCUCCUGCCACCCUGCCAGCACCGAGCCCCUCUUCCAGCCCACCCCAGUGGGGUCCAGGCCCCUCCCUGGAGCCUCACCUUGCGGGUCACGGUGCACUGCUGAGUCAUGUCCUGGAUGAGGGCUAUGAGCUGCUGCUGAGCCCUGCAGAGACCAGCAGAGGCCCUGACCCAGCUGCCUCCUGCCAGGCUGGAGCGCUCCAUCCUGGCGGCCAUGCCAGUCUCCAGAGCUUUCAAAAGACUCCAGGGCCUCGGCCCACCCCUGGAGAUGCUGAUUUACUUGUCCUGGGGCGGGACCCAGGGGGUGCUGUUGAGCAGCCAGCGUACAGGGCCCCACUCCAGGACCUCAAUAUUCAUGGUGGGUCCCUGGCCUGCAGCCUGGAGUCACCGAGAGAGCUGUUAGAAAUGCAGAGUGCCAGGCCUCUCCCUGGACCUGCUGGCUCCGAUCCCCAGGGGACUUGAGUUUGCAAUGAGUGAUGGGGGUGCUGAGCUCAACACUCCUGCUUUCUAGCACUGUGCGUUCCGUGCACUUGAAACUUGGAGCCUCCCAUAGGCUGAUCUAGAACAAUGGUUUCCUUUUCUUUUUUUUUUUUUUUGAGACAGAGUCUCACUCUGUCGCCCAGGCUGGAGUGCAAUGGCUCAAUCCCGGCUCACUGCAACCUCUGCCUCCGGGGUUCAAGUGAUUCUCCUGCCUCAGCCUCCUGAGUAGCUGGGAUUACAGGCACCUGCCACCACGCCCAGCUAAGUUUUUUGUAUUUUUAAUAGAGACAGGGUUUCACCAGGUUACCCAGGCUGGUCUCGAACUCCUGACCUCAGAUGAUCCACCCGCCUCGGCCUCCCAAAGUGUUUGGAUUACAGGUGUGAGCCACCAUGCUCGGCCUAGAGCAGUGGUUUUCAAUGGAGCAAGGCAGGGGGCAAUGUCACUCCCCAGGGAGGGUGACCAGCUGUCCCUGCUUGCCCAGGACCGAGGGGCUUCCCUGCAAGUGGGGCUUUCAGUGCUAAGACCAAGACAGUCCUAGGAGAACCAGGGGACCCUUGGCAACCUAUAGAGACAUUUCUGGUUGUCACAGCUGGGGCAUGGGAGUAGUCCCGGCAUCCUGGGUAGGGCGGCCAGGGAUGCUGCUCUAUAUCCUGCAGUGCCCAGGACGGCCCCACCACAGACGGGGAUCCAGCCCCAAACGUCCAUGGUACCAAAGCUAAGAAACCCAGAGCUAAGAAACCCAGAUCUAGAAUGUUCUAGAAUGAACAUUUCAUUUGCAAUAUAUAAAGCAUCCAUCACAAAGAAACAACAUCUUCAGCAGUGAUCUUGGCAGGCUUCCCUCCUUAGGGGGGUCUCACCACGCCCACCCUCUAUUGCUGGGCAGGAGGAGGAAGCCGAGGCAGGCUGGGUGCCAUUUCCCUGUGGGCCUCUCUGGGGACGCACCGAGCUCGAGGCAGCUGCUCACCUGGAGUAGUUGGGGAUGGUGCCGUGCGCGGCAGUAUCCUUCAUGGUGUAAGAGUUCACGCGGUGGGCAUGCCAGCAGCCGCAGCCCUGGAACAUGGUGUCGGUGACGUGCAGGACCUCGUUGCAAUGCACCUGCAGCUCCCCUUUGGCCCUGCCCUCCAUGGCCAGGUUGACCCGGAUGUAGAAUGAGUCCCCCGAGGUCGCCACUUUGGCCUCCAGGUCCUGGAGUAGCCUCUUAUAACCUGAUAAAAGGGGACAUGAGCCACAGAUGAGCCACAGAUACGAGCCUCUGCGAGGAAGGUUGCAGAAAAUUAAAGUAGGAGAGAAGGAAGGACCCUCCCAGUCUCAGAAGCUGCUCUGGCACUGGAGUCAGUGGGUGGGAGGUUUCCAGCUGGCUUGGGGGCCUCCUGGGGACCUGGGGCACAGCCUGGCUGAUCCUCUCUUGGCUCUGGGGGUCCCUGGCUGCUGGGCGUGCAGAAGAACCACCAGGGACUUAAGGGUCAUGGAGUCUGGCCAGGCAGCUGUGCACACGAGAGGAGUGGUAUGUGUACCGUCCGUGUUGACCUUCACAGACAGGCAGCAGAAGCCGUCCACCCUCCUGAGAAGCCCCACGGCCUCCUCCAGGGUCGUGUCCUCCAGGACUGCCUUGAACAAGGGCUCUGAGGCUUCGUAAUCAACCUGAGGGCAAGUCGAGAAGGUCAGUCUCUUUCCCCCGGGACUCUGAAUCCAGCCAGAAGACAGAAGGCGCUGAGGGCACUGAGGCGAGGCGCGGGCCAGCCCUGCCGUAGGACCACUGCCUGCACGCCUUGGUCAAAACAAAGCCACACACCAGAGCCUCUGUGGGGCCUUCACACCUCUAGUGAUGCGUGCUACACAUAGUGCUGGCCAGAGAGUCAACUGCCAACCCUUCCCCAGUCGAGAUCGGGGGUUCUUUGUGAUAAGCACUUUCCUGUCUUGAAAAAGAAAAGAAAAGAAAAGAAAGAACCUCGGUUCUAGAACAUUCAAGAGCAUUCUAGAUAGAGGUUUCUUAGCCUUGGGAUCAUUCUGUGCUGCUGCGGGCUAUACCGGGCCCUACAGGAUGCUGAGUGGCAUCCCUGGCCUUCACCUACCCGAUGCCCUGGCUCUCCACCCACAGCCUUCCCCACUGUGAAGGCCCACCCCCCAGGGCUUCCACCAUCCACUUCAUUUCUUCUCAAUAUUGUUCUAAGCUUAGGAGAGUAGAUAUUUUUACAAUAAAAAUUAAGAUGUGUUUUAACACCAUUAGAAUCUAAUUGGCCCCCUUAGGAUAUCGGGACUAUCUCCCUGAACAUCGUCAAGGGGCUCUGUUGCUUGAACUACCUCAGAGCUGAUAAUUGGGAACCUUAAGAGCAGGGUUCCCCAACCCCUGGGCCACAUACUGGUACUGGUCCAUGGUCCAUCAGGACCCGGGUCACACAGCAGGAGGGGCGUGGUGGGCAAGUGAGCAUUACGGCCUCAGCUCCACCUCCUGUCAGCUCAGCACAGCAGUAGAUUCUCAGAGGAGCAUGAGCCCUAUCGUGAACUGUGCAAGUGAGGGAUCUAGGUUUCACGCUCCUUAUGAGAAUCUAAUUCCUGAUGAUCUGUUACCGUCUCCCAUCACCCCCAGAUGGGACCGUCUAGUUGCAGGAAAACAAGCUCAGGGCUCCCACUGAUUCUGAAUUAUGGUUCAGUGUAUGAUUCUUUCAUUACAUAUUACAGUGUAAUAAUAAUAGAAAUAAAGUGUACAAUCAA
rnacentral:lncRNA from 1 species